rnacentral:rRNA from 1 species
GGAUAACCUACCCUUAGGACUGGGAUAACCCUGGGAAACUGGGGAUAAUACUAGAUAGGCAAUUUUUCCUGGAAUGGUUUUUUGUUUAAAUGUUUUUUCGCCUAAGGAUGGGUCUGCGGCCGAUUAGGUAGUUGGUUAGGUAAUGGCUUACCAAGCCGUUGAUCGGUACGGGUUGUGAGAGCAAGAGCCCGGAGAUGGAACCUGAGACAAGGUUCCAGGCCCUACGGGGUGCAGCAGGCGCGAAACCUCCGCAAUGUGAGAAAUCGCGACGGGGGGAUCCCAAGUGCCAUUCUUAACGGGAUGGCUUUUCAUUAGUGUAAAGAGCUUUUGGAAUAAGAGCUGGGCAAGACCGGUGCCAGCCGCCGCGGUAACACCGGCAGCUCUAGUGGUAACAAUUUUUAUUGGGCCUAAAGCGUCCGUAGCCGGUUUAAUAAGUCUCUGGUGAAAUCCUGUAGCUUAACUGUGGGAAUUGCUGGAGAUACUAUUAGACUUGAGACCGGGAGAGGUUAGAGGUACUCCCAGGGUAGAGGUGAAAUUCUGUAAUCCUGGGAGGACCGCCUGUUGCGAAGGCGUCUAACUGGAACGGUUCUGACGGUGAGGGACGAAAGUUAGGGGCGCGAACCGGAUUAGAUACCCGGGUAGUCCUAACUGUAAACGAUGCGGACUUGGUGUUGGGGUGGCUUUGAGCUGCUCCAGUGCCGAAAGGGAAGCUGUUAAGUCCGCCGCCUGGGAAG